rnacentral:lncRNA from 1 species
CCGGGCCGCCAAAGCAGAACGUGUGAACUUAACUGCUGCACCACCGGGCCGGCCCCUGGAUGAGCUUAAUCCUAACCACCUUGCAGAGGAUGAGCAGAGAAUGUUUUCCAGGUUCAUCCACGCUGCAGUGUGUGUCAGUGCCUCUUCUUAAAUCAACUUUGUUAAGGAGAUGCAAUCACCAACCACUCUGAACCAGAGGAGCCUCUCCACGAGAGCAGUGCCUGGACCUCUGCUUCAUUUUUCACGCUAAGAUCUCUCCCGGAGCUUAGGCCUUAUUACUGUGACCUGCAGUGUAUGUGGAGGCACGUCUUCCAGCUGAGCCUGCACAAGUGAAUGCCCACUUCUCCCUUUUGAAUAUUCAUUUCCCAUCCCAAAUAAAUGUCCUUGCUUCCCAUUGUUCAGGGACACCACGACUUGGGAAAUGAUUCCUCGUGGUCUCCUAUUUGCCGCAAACGUACCUUACUUUGCGAGACGACUCCUCCUGGCGGAGAGUCUGAUGUCGCUCUCCAGGAGGGAACCCGCCUCGCUUUGGGGAACAUACCCAGAGUGAAUCCCGCACAGGCAGAACCUGCAGCAGGGUCUUUGUGUCUGCUUCCUCCACUUUGCAUGAAGGGUUGAGAGGUCCCUUUGAUUUCGAGGGAGCGUUCUGACAAAUAAAAAUGGCAAGUAAUAGGAUAUAUUGGAGAAUAUGAGGAAGCCAUUUGGUGUAAACCUAACUCAGCCUGACCUUGUCUUUCCAAAAGGGCCUGACCGUCACCAUUGAGCAUGCAUUGUAU